AGCAGCCGCGGUAAUUCCAGCUCCAAUAGCGUAUAUUAAAGUUGUUGCAGUUAAAAAGCUCGUAGUUGAAUUUCGGGAUCAAUUUAUUGGUCGUGCUAUUGUACGUACUGGUAUUAUUGAUUUCUACCUUCUGACGAACCAUGAUGUCAUUAAUUUGGUGUCUUGGGGAAUCAGGACUGUUACUUUGAAAAAAUUAGAGUGUUUAAAGCAGGCUCACGCUUGAAUACAUUAGCAUGGAAUAACGAAAUAGGACGUUUGAUUCUAUUUUGUUGGUUUCUAGGAUCGACGUAAUGAUUAAUAGGGAUAGUUGGGGGCAUUAGUAUUCAAUUGUCAGAGGUGAAAUUCUUGGAUUUAUUGAAGACUAACUACUGCGAAAGCAUUUGCCAAGGAUGUUUUCAUUAAUCAAGAACGAAAGUUAGGGGAUCGAAGACGAUCAGAUACCGUCGUAGUCUUAACCAUAAACUAUGCCGACUAGGGAUCGGAUGAUGUUAAUUUUUUAAUGACUCAUUCGGCGCCUUACG
rnacentral:misc_RNA from 1 species